rnacentral:rRNA from 1 species
GUCGAACGCUGGCGGCGUGCCUAAUACAUGCAAGUUGAGCGCUGAAGGUUGGUACUUGUGCCAACUGGAUGAGCAGCGAACGGGUGAGUAACGCGUGGGGAAUCUGCCUUUGAGCGGGGGACAACAUGUGGAAACGAAUGCUAAUACCGCAUAAAAACUUUAAACACAAGUUUUAAGGUUGAAAGAUGCAAUUGCAUCACUCAAAGAUGAUCCCGCGUUGUAUUAGCUAGUUGGUGAGGUAAAGGCGCACCAAGGCGAUGAUACAUAGCCGACCUGAGAGGGUGAGCGGCCAGAUUGGGACGGAGACACGGCCCAAACUCAUACGGGAGGCAGCAGUAGGGAAACGUCGGCAAUGGACGAAAGUCUGACCGAGCAACGCCGCGGGAGUGAAGAAGGUUUUCGGAUCGUAAAACUCUGUUGGUAGAGAAGAACGUUGGUGAGAGUGGAAAGCUCAUCAAGUGACGGUAACUACUCAGAAAGAGACGGCUAACUACGUG